rnacentral:piRNA from 1 species
UCCCUUAGCACAAAGGUUGUCAUAUUUGG